rnacentral:rRNA from 1 species
CCUACGGGGGGCAGCAGUAAGGAAUAUUGGUCAAUGGACGCAAGUCUGAACCAGCCAUGCCGCGUGAAGGAUGAAGGUCCUCUGGAUUGUAAACUUCUUUUAUCUGGGACGAAACCUCUUUUUCUAAAGAGACUGACGGUACCAGAGGAAUAAGCACCGGCUAACUCCGUGCCAGCAGCCGCGGUAAUACGGAGGGUGCAAGCGUUAUCCGGAUUCACUGGGUUUAAAGGGAGCGUAGGAGGGCAGGUAAGUCAGUGGUGAAAUCCCCGUGCUUA